UCACAGCUCAGAACUUAGUGCGUUUACUAGCCUGAAAAAAGAGCGAAAGAUAAAGUCUUAAGUACUUAAUUGAAAAGUGCAAGUGCCGUUUAGUGUUAUCAUAUUGUAUUACUAUAUUUAAUUGCUUACGGACAUUGUGUUGAAGUAGAUAAUUAUUAGUUGGGAUAUAAUUGUUAUUUCAAUUGUGGAAAGCGGAAUAUUGUUAUGGCAGAAAAUGUAGAUAAACCCAAAGUAAUUAUUUUUGGAGGUAGUGGCUUCAUUGGUCGGAAUCUGGUGGAGUAUUUGAUCACGAAUGAGUUAGUAUCUCGACUGAGAGUGGUAGAUAAAGUUCCACCACAGAUUGCCUGGCUCAACAAACGGCACCAGGAUAUCUUUAAUGAUUAUCUCGUGGAGUUCAGAAGUGUUAACUUAAUCAUACAAGGAGCUGCAGAGCUGGCAUUUGAGAAUGGAGACUUCGACUAUGCAAUCAACUGUGCAGGAGAAACAAAGCUGGGACAGACUGACCAAGUUUACGAAGAAGGGGUCUACAAAGUGAGUGUGAACUGUGCAUCAGCUGCUGCCAAACACGGGGUUAAGCGGUUCCUAGAAAUAUCCUCUGGCCAGAUUGAUUCCAAUGAGAAGGUAGAGCAUAAAGAAUCGGACCAGGUGAAACCAUGGACAAAAGUCGCUAAGUACAAGCUUCAAGUGGAAUCGGAUCUGAAAACCAUACCAGGCUUGAAGUAUACAGUCAUCAGACCUGCGAUUGUGUAUGGGAUUGGUGACAGGACAGGACUGACUCCUCGUCUGGUUCUGGGCUGUAUCUACCAACACCUGGGAGAGAGUAUGAAGCUACUGUGGUCUCGAGACCUGGUGAUGAAUACUGUACACGUGCACGAUGUCUGUUGUGCUCUUUGGUACCUCAUCCAACGUGACGACACAGUAGGCCAGGUGUACAAUGUCGUAGAUGACAGCCACACGACACAAGGCUCCGUCACAGAGAUCAUCUCUGAUAUAUUCAACAUCAACUAUGACUAUUAUGGGAAUAUUUUGUCAUCGCUUUGUAAGCUAAUUCGUGUACAGGGGGAUCUGUCAGUGGUGGUGGAUGAGGCCAAUGACAAGCACAUGGGGCCGUGGGCCGACCUCUGCAGACUGAAUAAUGUCGAGAACACUCCAUUGUCACCUUACAUUCACCAGGAGCUGCUCGAUAAGAAACAUCUGAACCUAAGCAACGAGAAACUCAAGGCCACUGGGUUCACGUUGACCCAGCCGGUGCUCACCAAACAGCUGUUACUACAGGUUAUAGAUGACUUGACAGAAAUGAAACUCUUUCCGAAAACGAUGAGCACAUAGCACCAUGUCUGUGAUGCUCUCCAGUGAUAUCGUGUUACCUGUAUAAGUUCCAACAACAUUCCAAAAUCCAAAGAUACUCUGGAAUUUUAGACUGCUAUAAUUGAGUCGGAGCAGUAGAUUUUGAACCUUGGUUGUGUGUAAGGGACCAAAGUGUGUUGCAGUUAUAUGCGCCUUCAACAUUUAGCCACAAUGUGCAGAGCAUGUUGCAGUAGUGUGGAAGAAUCAACAGUGUUUGUGACCUACAGGUCUGGUGGCACAGCAACACUUGCCGUUUUACCUUUGAGUUUAAGCAAAAAAACUCGUAACGUAUUUUUCGCGAAGGCUAUUUUUCUGCAGUACAAAAGUACUUAACUGUAUCGUAUUUGUGAUUUAACAAGCAAGCACGUGCCCUACUUUAUUUCUGCAAUGGCACGAAAUUUUCUCAGAUCUUGUUAAAUUGUCUGUAACCCUCAUAAUACUAGUCUUUUGAAUAUAAUAAUAUUGAUGAGUACUGUUACGUAUCUUACCUUACUAAAUGUGCUGAUAGUCUUCAGUGAAAUAUUAUUUUAUAAGUUUUAUCCUAACAUCAUACAAAAUCUUAGUUUUAUUUAGCUAUUAGCUAGCACGCACUGUUAGUAAAUUGUUGUGUUCUGAUUAAGUUUUGCUGUUUUAGUGAAAAUAUUUGAUUUUAUUUGAAACAAACCAAACACGUUGACAAUAAGAUGCGUUCUACAACAGAUUUCUGUACCACACUGUAUGGAAUAGCAUUGAAUUUAACCCUCUAACUGACAACUGCCGUAUAAAUGGCAGUUAGGCCGCUCGCGUACUGGCACUGCAGUAUUAGCAAAUCAGUUAUUAUUUGCGUAUUUUCGAUGUUUUGGUGUAAACCGACUAUCAAUUGAUGACAGAAUAAUCAAGCUAUCGAUUGAGGUAUAUUAUUACUCAAUAAAUCAAACUUUAAUCAUCUUUGUAUGGUUAAAAGAAACGUCUCGUGCCUCGUGCGAGCAACUGUUUUGACUGUGACCAGCUGACCGGGCGACUGUCUUAUUAUUUUCUCAAGGAUCUUCAUUCUUAAAAAAAGCGAUCCGAAUAAUUACCAAACUGCGCUGUAGAGAGUCAUUUAGGCAAGCUUUCAAAGACCUGUAACUGUUGACGUUAACCUGCCUCUAUAUUUUAGAGACCUGUCUUUUUUUAAUCUAAAUUUAAUGCCAUAAGAGAUAGUGACAUACACUCUUAUGUAACUAGAGGCAGGAACAACUACCGAACUGGGGCACACAGGACGGUAUUGUUUGAACGUAUGCCUUCCCAGGCAGGAGUUCUCUUUCUCAACAGAUUACCAAAUUCGUUGAAAAAUGCUGCAACGCCGAAGGCAUUUAAGGCUCGUCUGAAAUCAACUUUAGUUGCAAACGAUUUUUACAACACGGACGAGUUUAUGACAUUCAAUUAGGAGACCCUCGAUUGGCAGACUGACUAGGGACUAGAGUGGCACAAUUCAAAUGAGUGAGAGAGUGUGACGGCAAACAAUGUAUGUAUGAAAUAGACUUUUGUGAUAGAAUGAAUGGAAAAUUUUAGCUUUCUAAAUUUGACGAUUCCGAAACAAUUAUUGUAACAAUAUCUUAUGGAGUAAAAGAUUUAUUAUUAUUAGUUUCUUGUGAUGUCGUUGUGUUUUGGUGUCUGCCUAAUUGAUUUAUUUUUAGUUUGUGUUGUGUUUUGGUUAUUAGUAAUAUGGCUGAUGAAGACACACUCAAUUUUAGGAACAAAUCGAGUAAUUUGGGAGUACUAUUAACUGAAUUGGAACUGACUUCCUUAUAAGGCUUGUUCAAAGUUACAUUUUUUGUGAAUAAAUAACCUAUAGUAACAAUAAUAAGCAAGUGUUAUUAUCCCUUUAGUUUUCCAGAUAACAAUGGUAUAUAACAUCAUGUAUAGGUUGAAUUUCAGCUUUGAAUAAAGGCUGAAAGUACAAUGUUAGUGGAUUUUACACAAAAGUUCAUAAAUUACUAAAAAAGUAAUAAUUUGUUUUAAGUUGAAGCGCUAAAACUAUAUAUUUUUGGUAAGUAUAAAGUUGUGUUUGUUUUGUAUAAUUUGGAAUUUAUAUACACUUGUCACCAUAUAUGAUGAGAUAGUGCAGUUAUAAAAAAAUUCAACAAAUUCUUAUUAACAAUAUUCAAACACCAACAAUUUUCCUAAUGCAAGAAAAUAACAAUAUAAAUCAUUUUUUAUUAUUUCUUUAAAUAUUCUGAAAAUAAUAAUGUAUAACAAGUCAUAUAUAGGUUGAAUUUCCAGUGUUUUAAAGCAAUUGUACAAAAAGGCUGAACAUGCAUUGUUAGUGAAUGUUGUACUAAAGUUUAAACAUUGCAAAAAAGUAAACAAUUUUUAAGUAAAGCCACUAAAACUAAAUAUAUUGGGUAAGUAUAAAAUUGUGCUUCUUUUGUAUAUUUUGGAAUUUUUAUACAUCUUUGUUUGUGUGUAAUAUAUGGUAACAUAGUGCAAAGGUAUAAAUAAUUUUAAAAAGUUCAUAUCAAGCAUAUUCAAACACCAAAAUAUUAAAAAAAGUAAAUAUUAAUGAAGAUAAUUUAUUAUUUUUAUUUGGAAUAUUCUGAAAACAAUGAUGUAAAUGAUGAAAACACUCCCAUCUGGAAGUGUCAAUGGCCGAGUGGUCUAAGACGUUGGACUUUGAGUCUGAGUUAGAGAUAGCGAAGGUUUGAAUCCUGUCUGUGACUGUUGCACUUUUUAUCAGUACAAUCAACCUUGUACUGUAUGACUCUCCCUCUUAUUCUGUUUUACAAGAUCCUCGCAUAGGCCAGUGGCCCAUGAGGACGGGCAGAGUAAGGCUUAAAGGGCUUCUCCUUUUUCUUUUAAAUAAAAAUAAAAGUAUUAAUAGUUGUACAUAUGAAGAAUUUCGAGAGGUAGAUAAUAGUUUAAUGUAAAGCUACAAAAGAGUGCCAGUACAGGAGCAGACACUGCCAGUUCGAGGGUUAAAAAGAAAUUUGCAAUACAUAAGCAAAUAGCUAAUGGUUAAAACAUGACGGCACGCGUGUUAGCAAAUUCCUCACAGUCAGUGUAUUUAGUUGAUUUAGUUUAGGAAGGAACUGCACAUCCUGCAGCCAGUCAACGACUAAUCUGGUUCAAGGUCAUGCGGAGGGAUAGUUCAUCUGUCCGUUGAUGAAAAGUUAAAACGUCUCCUUAUAGUAUUGUAAAGAUGCGGCAAUUUGACACAAUUGUUUUUUCCUUAUGUGGACUUUUUUGUUAUAAUAUAAAACUUGUAUGGAAUAAUCAUUUGCUAGUCAGUUAAGUGCUGAAGUGACUCACGGUAGUAACAAUGCAGUAUUUUUCCAUUUAAGGGACCACAAGGGAAAGUAAAAAAAAAACUACUUUACAGUUUAUAUAACAUUCUACUGAUACUAAAGUUUGUUUUAUGUAUUAUGCUAUUUUCAAAUUUUGAACUAUUUAAAAUUAUUUUUAAUUGUAGCUCUUAAAAUUCAAAUAUAACCCAACUUUCUUAUUUAUUAAUUGAUAUAUAUUUUCAUAACCCAGUUUUUUCAUAUAAUACACAUACAUUUAGAAGAUGCUGAUCAAAUAAAUAACUACGAUGAAUGAAUGAUAGCUUCAUAUACUUACAUUUCACUUAAAUCAUUCAAUUUUAUAUGCAAAGCUUCUAGGUACAAAAAAGUUAUAACGUUUUUCGUGUUAAGUGGUAGGCCUAAUGGAGUUCCCAGACUUUAAAACUCUUCCCUAACAUAUCCAUGUUGACAAUCAUGUGUAAAUGUGCUUAUUUAUAAAACUAUUAAUUUGAAAUGAUUAUGAACAAUAGCAAUAGUUAAAUCACUUUCUACAGAUAUAAUAUUUGUACGUAGUAUUAUUAGUCAUGGUUAAAAUACAUUACUAUAGGAAUUCCAAGACAGAUACAUAAUAUUCUCUGUCCUUUUGUAUUGUAUUGUAUGUAAUGCCCAUAGAUAAACCAAUGUAUUUCACAAAAUGUGUUUGAUCCCAGUCUGAUAAGAAGGGUGUCCUUUCCCUAGUCAAGUGUCCAGGUGUCCCCAGUUAAAAGUGGGAGUCUCUAUGAAUACCUUCACAAUAUAUGACUUAGUUGUGUUCUCCUCAUCGCCUGAGCUCUGUCUGACCAUAUUCCUUUUCUUGACAUUCCACAAGCCCAUCAGGACAUUCCACAGCUAUCUCUGUUUAUAGCCUCUUUCUGUGACUGUCGUUUGCUACUUAGUAUGAGAUGUAACUGGAAGAACGUGUGUAUUAACUCUAACCACGAACUUCUGGACUCUUGAGAGUCAAAAGUCCCCUGGAUUGUUUUUGAAAUUGAGCAUUAUCCUUCUCCUUCUAUACACAAUUUCUCUCCUUGUAGAGUCAAGAAUAUUUUUUUGAUGUCAUAAAUGUUCAUCCUUCUCUAUUAAAAUCUUGAGAGACGUCCCUUUUGCUCUUUUCUUCUGAGUUCUGUCAAGUCUUUGACUUAUUGUCUUUUUGAGAGUUAAGCUGUUUUUUUUCCCUUUACACACAAUGGAUAGUCUGUGUAGAAUUGUCUUUAUGUUUCAGUUUUGCUUUGAGGUCUAUAUAUUUGACUGAUUCUCUUAAUCUUCUCAAUUUUUCUGGAGGAUCUUCAGUUUGUUUUCUUCCCCAGAGUUUGGCAGGACUUCCUACUCCAUUGGAAGCUUUGGAUAGUCCAGCCAAGUUUCGUGGAUGUUAUGUUACAAAUUUUAGAAAGUUUUCAACUUGUUCAUCUUCUUUCCAUUAGGAACUAGGUGCUCCAUUCCCCCCCCCCCCACCAUGAAUUAGUCAUGUGAAUAUUACUCACUACUGGAUGUCUCCUGAUGUCCAGAAGACGGUUAGUUAAACACACUGGAUAGCCUCUAGUGCCACUAAACCUCUACUACGGGUCACAUAAUUUUCUGUCUCAGUAAGAUUCUGUCCACCUUAGGACCCUAAGGUGAUAGUGUUCCCACAGAAUGUAGCAGGGAUCCCAUACUUCUUCAAAUCACACUUUAUAUUGAUGUUUCCACAGUUUCAUUCAUAAAUAACAUAUUGUAGUAGUAUUCCCACUGUUUACUCAAUCAAAGAUUGUAGUAGUGUUCCCAAAAUCUUAGCUUAUGGUUGUGUUCCCGCUACUCACACGAUUACAUAAUGUAGUAUCUUCUCCUUAGUAGUGUUCUGUAAGUACUAUAUACUUUAGUUAACUUUACUGUAUCAUGUAUUGUUUUACACAUUUCAUUAAAUUGUACUGAAUUAUAUAGUGUGCCUAUGGAUUAAAAACAAUUUUUUUGAUUAAAGUGAGACUUAUAUUUUCUGUAGUGUGUAAGGAAUUUAAAACCUAAUGUGUACCUAAUAAUAGUAUAAUUAGUAAUUGAAAUACUUAUAUACAUCUAGUAGCAGGUUUAUUGUGUACUUGGAUUGUGCUUUGAUAUUGUUAGUUAGGAGAAAGUGUGUUUGUUUUAAUGUUGAAAGAAAUAGAUAAAUAAAUCUAUAACAAUAAAUUAAAUUUUCGUAGUGUAUUGUUAUUGUUUGUCAUAUAUUUGUAUUGAUUUGAAUUAUUAUGUUUUUGUUGUUUUACAUGUAAAGCCUUCCAUAUUAUUCUGCGCUCUAAUGUUAAACAUUUAAUUUUACAUAAGUAUCAAUGUCAUGUUACUUCAUUUAUCUAAGUAGUUUGCCCGGGUAUGUUUAUUUUAAAACAUAUAGUUUAAUUGUAUGUUCAUCAAUAGGCUAUGGUUUUUGUUUUGAAAAUUUUAUUUUUUUGUUAUUUUAAAAGAACCAGUAAGAUUUUACAAAUCUCAAAAAGUCAGCAUAUUACCAUUGGCUCAUUUUACACUCAACAAUGUGACAUGUACAAUUUUAUGUACGCUUGUAUGCGUAUCAGCGGGUACCCCCUCUCAAAAGUACGUGAAAACUCAGGUGCGGUUUUAACGCAGUAACUGACUACAUUUUCUUCAAAUGACUGCUUGUUUUACCUUCCAGUGCCUUACCAUGCUUGGCCUUCCAGUUAUUUGCCGCGUUUUGUCUUAACAUUGGGAGGGGUUACUUUUCUGCUCUUCAGUUUCUUUUCAUGCCACUCCCGUUUUCAAUACACAAGUAAUUAUUCUUAAAGAAAUUAAUUCUAAUAAAAAUUGUAAUUUCCAGGAGCAACUUUUUCAUUUCAUUCAUUUACUACUGUGAAUUUGACUUCCAUCAUCAGAUUUAAACCGAACUGCCAUGUGGUCAAACCAUCAAUUCUAAUGCCUACUGCGAGACUAAGUAAGCUAAAACCAGGAUUAGAGGUUUUCAACCAGAGCACAUACAACUCUUACUCAAACACUGCUCCAUUUUCAAAAAAUUCAAUGUUUGGCAAUGUAGUCUGCUCCCCAACUCAUCCUACACCCCAGCUUUAGCACCUUGUAACAGCUCUUCACACAAUUAGGAAGGGACUUGAAGCUUCCUCAACACUUGUUCAGUGGUUGUUUUUAACCUUAACAAUAAAAAUGUUCUUAAUAAAUCUUAUAUAUAAAUAACAAAAGGAAAGUGUAGCAUCAAACACUUAUCGAUGGUUUAACUUCUUUUGCAUAGUAGUUAAUAUGAUUUGCGCAAUUAAAAUAAUGCCUCAAAAUUGUAAUACAUGAUAUACUAUUUUGUUUUCACGCUACUACACAGUAUUAAUUACAUCCUAUAUCAUAUUUUGUGUUAAUACAUAGAAUUAUGGUGACAUUUUUACAAAUUUCUGUUGUGGUGUAUAUCUUCAUUUGUUAGUCUCUCCUGUUGAGACAAAAAGGUAGACAGGAACACUGGUUAAUUGUACAAAAAGUUGUCAAUUCAUCAAACUAAUACGCAAUAUUUAAAUAAUUAAUGAUUUCUAUAUACACUUUGAUAAUUAGAUCUCAAGCUGUAGUAAAGAGCUGACUGUGUUUCACCUGCUCUCAGUGGUUGCCAUCACUCGGUCCUCAAGUGUGUGUUUGUCCUAUGUGUAUCCACAAGGCAAUCUCUGAGAGCUGACUGUUCAGUGAUAUCCCUGCUCUCAGUGGUUGCCGUCACUCGGUCCUCGAGUUUUUGUUUGUUCCAUGUGUAUCCACAAGACAAUCUCUGAGAGUUAUCUCAAAUGCCUGCUCAGUGUUUUUUUUAACCUUAACAAUGCAAAUGUAAUAAUUCUUUCACACGAAUAACAAGAGUAAAGUUGCAUCAACUACUUUUGUAUGAUUUAAAUAUUGCGUAGCAGUUAAUAUGUUAUGCAUAAUUAAAAUCAAAACUUAAUCUUUUAUUAGAUGAUGUGCUAUUUUGUUCUCACACUACCACACUGUAUUAUUUAUAUCUCAUAUAAUAUUUUUGUAAUACUUAUAUAUAUGUUGUCUUUUUUUAAGUUCUGUUGUGCUGUAUAUUUUUAUAUUUUAGUCCCUACUGUUUUGACAAAAAAGAUGUUGAUUAAUAAACUAUACAUUGUCAAAACAUUUCCAGGUGUUGCAGGUUUCCACUACAUGUCUCGGAACUAAUGUUACUCCAUCAGGUGGUUAAUAAGAGGUAAAAGUGCUCCACAUGGACAGAGUUUAAAAAAUUUUAAAGUAACAGACACGAAAUAACAACAAAAAAAACUUGUAGUGGAAAUCUACAACAUUUGGAACUGUUUUGACACGGUAUAGUACCAUAUUUUAGUUAAUUAUUCAGUUCUGGGGCUACAGAAUAUGAAUUUUGAAGAUAUUGAUACUUAAAGUGCCCAGGAUAGUUGUACAAAAUGUUGGUAAUUUUAUAUAACUAAUGUCCAAUUUUUAAACCAGCCUAUGACUUUAUUUAUAAACUUUGUUAUUUUUAUUUUUUCUCAAACACCAUCUCUGUCUUAAUACUUUUUCAUUCCUCUUUCAAAGAGUUUCAUCAAUGUUUUAAAAUAUUUAGCAAUAUGUUGCUUGCUUUUAAAAAAGUAUUGUGAUUAUUUAGCUAUAUUUUAUUAUUUGCUUUUACCUAAGUGCCAAUGAUGCCUUAAUUGAGUCAUCAAGUAGUUGUUUAUAUAUGGUGAGUCGUGUACUUAAUUAUGAUAAUAAUAAAUAUAAAGUUUGAAGUACUACUAUGAA